UACGUAGGGUGCGAGCGUUGUCCGGAAUUAUUGGGCGUAAAGAGCUUGUAGGCGGUUUGUCGCGUCUGCUGUGAAAAUCCGGGGCUCAACCCCGGACUUGCAGUGGGUACGGGCAGACUAGAGUGUGGUAGGGGAGACUGGAAUUCCUGGUGUAGCGGUGAAAUGCGCAGAUAUCAGGAGGAACACCGGUGGCGAAGGCGGGUCUCUGGGCCGAUAUCGACGCUGAGGAGCGAAAGCGUGGGGAGCGAACAGG
rnacentral:rRNA from 1 species